rnacentral:rRNA from 1 species
CAAAGGGGGCGACCCCGGUCAUGGAUGGGCAUGCGGCGCAUUAGGUAGUUGGUGGGGCAACGGCCCACCAAGCCGACGAUGCGUAGGGGUUCUGAGAGGAAGGUCCCCCACAUUGGAACUGAGACACGGUCCAAACUCCUACGGGAGGCAGCAGCGAGGAAUAUUGGUCAAUGGCCGGAAGGCUGAACCAGCCAAGUCGCGUGAGGGAAUAAGGCCCUACGGGUCGUAAACCUCUUUUGCCAGGGAGCAAUGCCGUCCACGUGUGGACGGAAGGAGAGUACCUGGAGAAAAAGCAUCGGCUAACUCCGUGCCAGCAGCCGCGGUAAUACGGAGGAUGCGAGCGUUAUCCGGAUUUAUUGGGUUUAAAGGGUGCGUAGGCGGCCUGCCAAGUCAGCGGUAAAAUUGCGGGGCUCAACCCCGUACAGCCGUUGAAACUGCCGGGCUCGAGUGGGCGAGAAGUAUGCGGAAUGCGUGGUGUAGCGGUGAAAUGCAUAGAUAUCACGCAGAACCCCGAUUGCGAAGGCAGCAUACCGGCGCCCGACUGACGCUGAGGCACGAAAGUGCGGGGAUCAAACAGGAUUAGAUACCCUGGUAGUCCGCACAGUAAACGAUGAAUGCUAGCUGUCCGGGGGGAUUGACCCCUGG